rnacentral:rRNA from 1 species
GCCGGAGGGUGCAAUCGUUGUUCGGAAUCACUGGGCGUAAAGCGCGUGUAGGCGGUUGAAUAAGCCGGAUCUGAAAGCCCGGAGCUUAACUCCGGAAGUGCAUUCGAAACUGUUCGGCUCGAGUACGGGAGAGGGAAGUGGAAUUCCUGGUGUAGAGGUGAAAUUCGUAGAUAUCAGGAGGAACACCGGUGGCGAAGGCGGCUUCCUGGACCGAUACUGACGCUGAGACGCGAAAGCGUGGGGAGAAAACAGG